GGCAAUUCCAAACCCCGUCAACUUGACAACCAAGAUUGGCCAACAAAGAUGGAUCCUUGCCCUCACCUUCAUCAGAUUUCUUCAGGCAGCUGUCUGUUGUUCAGGUUCUCCCCUUGAACCUGAGGCUCGCAAAUUAUGCCGGACUGCUGGCCAGCAAUCCCCAG